rnacentral:rRNA from 1 species
GUAGCAGGAAGUGCUUGCACUUUGCUGACGAGUGGCGGACGGGUGAGUAAUACUUAGGAACAUGCCUUUGUGUGGGGGAUAACCAUUGGAAACGAUGGCUAAUACCGCAUAAUGUCUUUGGACCAAAGAGGGCUUUCGGGCUCUCGCGCAAAGAGUGGCCUAAGUGAGAUUAGCUUGUUGGUGAGGUAAAGGCUCACCAAGGCGACGAUCUCUAGCUGUUCUGAGAGGAAGAUCAGCCACACUGGGACUGAGACACGGCCCAGACUCCUACGGGAGGCAGCAGUGGGGAAUAUUGCACAAUGGGGGCAACCCUGAUGCAGCCAUGCCGCGUGUGUGAAGAAGGCCUUCGGGUUGUAAAGCACUUUCAGUUGUGAGGAAAGGUUGAUGGUUAAUACCCAUCAGCUGUGACGUUAGCAACAGAAGAAGCACCGGCUAACUCCGUGCCAGCAGCCGCGGUAAUACGGAGGGUGCGAGCGUUAAUCGGAAUUACUGGGCGUAAAGCGCACGCAGGCGGUUAUAUAAGCUAGAUGUGAAAGCCCCGGGCUCAACCUGGGAAUAGCAUUUAGAACUGUAUGACUAGAGUCUUGGAGAGGGGAGUGGAAUUCCAGGUGUAGCGGUG